GGGACGUUAGCUCAGUCGGUUCAGAGCGCAUGCUUCACACGCAUGAGGUCGCUGGUUCGAAUCCUGCACGUCCCACAA
rnacentral:tRNA from 1 species